AUGGCCUUUGAGGAGCUCUUGAGUCAAGUUGGAGGCCUUGGGAGAUUUCAGAUCCUUCAUCUGGUUUUUAUUCUUCCCUCUCUCAUGGUAUUAAUCCCUCAUAUACUGCUGGAGAACUUUGCUGCAGCCAUUCCUGGUCAUCGUUGCUGGGUCCACAUCCUGGACAAUAAUACUGGAUCUGAUAAUGAAACUGGAAUCCUUAGUGAAGAUGCCCUCCUGAGAAUCUCCAUCCCACUAGACUCAAACCUGAGGCCAGAGAAGUGUCGUCGCUUCGUCCAUCCCCAGUGGCAGCUUCUUCACCUGAAUGGGACUAUCCACAACACAAGUGAGGCCGACACAGAACCCUGUGUGGAUGGCUGGGUAUAUGACCAAAGCUACUUCCCUUCGACCAUUGUGACUAAGUGGGACCUGGUAUGUGAUUAUCAGUCACUGAAAUCAGUGGUUCAGUUCCUACUUCUGACUGGAAUGCUGGUGGGAGGCAUCAUAGGUGGCCAUUUCUCAGACAGGUUUGGGCGAAGAUUGAUUCUCAGAUGGUGUUUCCUCCAGCUUGCCAUCACUGACACCUGUGCUGCCUUCGCUCCCACCUUCCCUGUUUACUGUGUGCUACGCUUCUUGGCAGGUUUUUCUUCCAUGAUCAUUAUAUCAAAUAAUUCUUUGCUCAUUACUGAGUGGAUAAGGCCCAACUCUAAAGCCCUGGUAGUAAUAUUGUCAUCUGGUGCCCUUAGUACUGGACAGAUAAUACUGGGAGGCUUGGCUUAUGUCUUCCGAGAUUGGCAAACCCUGCACGUGGUGGUGUCUGUACCUUUCUUUGUCUUCUUUCUUCUUUCAAGGUGGCUGGUGGAAUCUGCUCGGUGGUUGAUAAUCACCAAUAAACUAGAUGAGGGCUUAAAGGCACUUAGAAAAGUUGCACAAACAAAUGGAAUAAAGAAUGCUGAAGAAACCCUGAACAUAGAGGUUGUGAGAUCCACCAUGCAGGAGGAGCUGGAUGCAGCACAGACCAAAACUACUGUGUGUGACUUGUUCCGCAACCCCAGUAUGCGUAAAAGGAUCUGUAUCCUGUAUUUUUGAGGUAGGCUCCGUAUAAUUUGCAAACACAAUACCUUUUAUGGUACCAUGGUCAAUCUUCAGCAUGUGGGGAGCAAUAUUUUCCUGUUGCAGGUACUUUAUGGAGCUGUCGCUCUCAUGUUCGAUGUCUUGCUCUUUUGACACUAAAUCAUAUGGGCCGUCGAAUAAGCCAGAUAUUGUUCAUGUUCCUGUGGGCCUUUCCAUUUUGGCCAACACGUUUGUGCCCAAAGAAAUGCAGACCCUGCGUGUGGCUUUGGCAUGUCUGGGAAUCGGCUGUUCUUCUGCUACUUUUUCCAGUGUUGCUGUUCACUUCAUUGAACUCAUCCCCACUGUUCUCAGGGCAAGAGCUUCAGGAAUAGAUUUAAUGGCUAGUAGGAUUGGAGCAGCACUGGCUCCCCUCUUGAUGACCUUAACGGUAUUUUUUACCACUUUGCCAUGGAUCAUUUAUGGAAUCUUCCCCAUCAUUGGUGGCCUUGUUGUCUUCCUCUUACCAGAAACCAAGAAUCUGCCUUUGCCUGACACCAUCAAGGAUGUGGAAAAUCAGUGA